rnacentral:rRNA from 1 species
CAUAUAACUAAGCGGAGGAAAAGAAACUAACAAGGAUUCCCCCAGUAACGGCGAGUGAAGCGGGAAGAGCUCACAUUGUGAAUCUGGCCCUCGGGCCCGAACUGUACUUUGGAGAGGCGUGGCCAGCCGCUGUCCGCGGCCAAGUCUGAUUGGAAAUGAGCAUCAAGGAGGGUGACAAUCCCGUCCAUGCCGCGGUAUUGACCAGCGCGCGUCCGGCCCGCUUUCGACGAGUCGAGUUGCUUGGGAUUGCAGCUCAAAGAGGGUGGUAAACUCCAUCCAAAGCUAAACACGGGGGGGAGACCGAUAGCGAACAAGUACCGUGAGGGAAAGAUGCAAAGAACUUUGAAAAGAGAGUUAAAGAGUGCCUGAAAUUGCUGGAAGGGAAGCGAAGGAAAGAAGUGUGCGGUUGCCCGGGCGCCAACCCCUACCUGUCCGCAGGUGGGGGUAGGCCGCCCGGCCGCGGUCAGGGGCCGCGCCGGGCUCGGGGGAAGAGCCGUCGGGGAUCGGUAGGCGGCCCGCUUCGGCGGGGCGUUGUCAGGCCCCGGUGGUGUUAUUCAUUGCCCUGAGCCCGGCCCCCUUCUGGCGGUCGCGGCUUUUCUUCACCCCGUCUUGAAACACGGACCAAGGAGUCUAGCGUGGACGCGAGUAGAGGGGUGUCCAAACCCCCUUGCGCAAUGAAGGUGAACGCCGGUGGGAGGCCGCCCUUGUUUCUUCUUGGGAGGCAAGCACCAUC